GCAAACAUAGUUUUAAGUCAAACAUUAGACUGUGAUUCUAAAAAUAGAAGUUAAACCCUUCUUGUCUGCC
rnacentral:tRNA from 1 species